UACGAAGGGGGCUAGCGUUGCUCGGAAUCACUGGGCGUAAAGCGCACGUAGGCGGGUCGUUUAAGUCAGGGGUGAAAUCCUGGAGCUCAACUCCAGAACUGCCCUUGAUACUGGCGAUCUCGAGUUCGGGAGAGGUGAGUGGAACUGCGAGUGUAGAGGUGAAAUUCGUAGAUAUUCGCAAGAACACCAGUGGCGAAGGCGGACUCACUGGCCUGAUACUGACGCUGAGGCACGAAAGCGUGGGGAGCAAACAGG
rnacentral:rRNA from 1 species